AGCAUUUUGUAGAGUAUUAAGAGACAUGUUUUGCAAGAUGUACCACGUAAGAUUUUCUCUGCCAUGUUCAUCUCAUUCUGGGCAGGAUUCCUCUGUCCCUUUGUCAUUUUUGUCUAUUGUUGGACAAUGUGUCCUGAAGAAAAAAGAAAUAUUGAAGAAAAUUAUAUAAAAACCAAAGCAGGAUUCCUGACAAUGCCUUGCUAUACCUAUAAGCCCUAAACAUGGAUAAGACAUUAUUCACAGAAAAAUUAUAUAAUCUGGAAAACAGGAGGAGAUAAUUUCUUAUCCUCAGAAACACUACCUAAAGAAAUAUAUGUAUAAAUUAUUUAUGUAAUGUGAAUAAUCCAAGGUGAAAUUAUGUUUUAAAUAUUACCAAAUAAAGAGCAAAGCUUUUUAAUGGUAAGAAA
rnacentral:lncRNA from 1 species